GGUUUGUCCGCGCCGGCGCUGCCCAAGCCUGGCUGUGCAUGUAAUAUACAUUCUAUGUGUUGUAGUUUGUAUUUUCUCUGCCCAGCUUUUGCUGCAGAAAUCAUAAAGCAUAAUUUUGCAAGUGAGCUAUGGCAGCUGAUGGCCAGAGGUUCUGCCUGAAGUGGAAUGACUUCAGGAACAGUGUCACUGCUGUGUUUGAAGACUUGAGGCAGGAUGAAGAGCUGGUUGACAUUACGCUUUGCUGUGAGGGCAAGAAGGUGAAGGCCCACAGAAUGAUGCUUUCAGCAUGUAGUCCAUACUUCAGGGAGCUUCUCAAGGAAAAUCCUUGUCAACAUCCAGUCUUUUUUCUCAAGGACACAACCUAUGUUGAUCUCAAAGCUGUAGUAGAGUUUGUGUACAAUGGUGAAGUGAACGUCACACAAGGACAGUUGAGCAGUUUUUUGAAGACUGCUGAAAUGCUGCAAGUUCGUGGCUUGACUGGUGAUGAUGAAAAGGAAUCACAAACACCUGCACAGCCGCCCCCACCUGUGGCACGGCACCCACCGAUGCAGCCGAUGUCGCACCAUCCGCCUCCCAGGCACCGGCCGGGGCCGGUCGCCCCGCCCAUGGCGCCGCGCGUGCUGCCACCAACACCCAUGAAGAGGCCACUGGCCGCGCCGCAGCCGGCCCCCACGCCGCCCAAGCGCCCGCCGCCUCCUCCGCCGCCGCCGACCGACUCAGACGUGUACGUGGAGCCGGUGGUGGUGUCCGACUCGCCCGAGCCGCCGCCGCCGGCCUCCCCAGCGGCGGCGCGCGCGCGCCAACCGUCCGGCUCGAGCGGCGGCGGCCCGGCCACGCCGGCCGGCUCCGAGCCGUCCGGAGACGCCGUGCCGUCCCCUGCCGAGUCGGCCACCCAGCCGCCGCCGCCGCCCGCGCCGUCACAGCUGCCGCCGCUGCAGAUGCAGCCGGCGGUACAGCAGCAGCAGCAGCAGAUGUCGGACACAGUGUCGCCGCUGCCGGCCGGCCCGGAAGGACGGGACCCGGCGGUGAAAGUGGAAAAAGUGGACAUUACGGACGAUGAUGUGAGCUUAGAGCAGGCGCUGGGCCAGGUGGUGAACUAUGAGGGCAGCUAUGACUCGGAGCAUUCGAUGUCCGGGAUGAUGCACCAUGACCUGAGUCAAGGUGGCGGUGGCCUUCCCCUUCCGGGCACCUCUGACGCGUCGGCGGCCGGAGUCGCGGCAGGAUCAGUCGACUUCGGAGAGUAUUGCUGCCAAAUUUGUCACCGAGUUUUCAAGUCUAAAUCAACUCUGCGUUCACAUCGUGCCUUUCAUCGUGGCCAAACAACUUGUGAGAUCUGUCACAAGGUUUUCUCAACGAAGUCAUCCAUGAAGCAACACAUGCUAUUCGUGCACAACGUGGCGGACCCCCAAAGUUCCAAGACUUCAUACUAGCGGAAGAAAAAAAAACGGACCAAGCACUUUGACGAAAUAUGCUCAGUUGGCGGCGCCGCAGGUCUGGUGCAACAUCUGUCACCGGGUGUUCAACUCCCAGUCGACUCUGCGCGGCCACCGGGCCGUGCACCGCGGCGAGACCACAUGCCCCGUCUGUCGGAAAAUGUUCAACACCAAGGGCCACAUGAAGCGGCACCUGCUGGCCUCGCACCCCGCCUCGCCGGCGGCCGCCGCCGUGUCGUCCUCGGCUGCCUACCCUGGAUCCAGCGGACCUCCUCCGAUCUAGUGUUCUCUUCCUCCGGCACCGUCUACGACGCCGAUCAGCACUGCGGACUGCCCGACUGAGCUACAGAACCGUCUGAUGGUCUUUGGUUCUGCGAGCAAUGCGGCAAGUCGUUCUCCCUUCGCAAGUCUCUGAUCAGGCACCAGGCCGUUCACCGGGGCGAGACUCGCUGCCUCAUCUGCGACAAGGUUUUCAGCACCAAAUUCAACCUUCAGGCGCACGAACGGUUCGUGCACAAUACGCAGUGACUUAAUUUGGCGAGUGGUGCGGUGAAGUGACGCAGUGACUCAUCCUUCUAGAAGCGCGGGAGGACGAAUGGCUGGACUCUGAACAAGCGUUGUUACUUGCCACACUGUUCAAAGUUCAUAUACAUGUGACAAGUGUUUUUAUGCUACAAUUGUUGCGCUUGUCAGGUAAACCACGCUGGUGGGUAGGUACUUCUGAUCGUAACGAAGAGCUUGACUAGGCUUGGGAUACGAGGUCACCUUCUUGUUGAAUCUGAAGUUCCGUUUUGCGGUGAUAUCCUGACGCGAUGUAAACAAUAUGUAUACAGCUUCGAAAGAUAACGCCUAGCUUCCGCCCUCCCUGGCAAUAAUUGAAACUGAUCAAUACUUUAUAUUAGUGACAGUCACUGACAAGUAAAGCGCAGUGUUAUCAUUAUCAUACCUGUGUGUUUCAUUCGCUAGUUCUUUCCUCUUCAUGAGUUGAGUUUCAUUGACAGCAGUAAGUGCGAACUGCGAAGAAAGUCUGCUCCUUUUUUGCAUAAAAGGCGAUCGCUCAUUGCAUAUUGCUUUUGCAAUUAGCUGGUGCAUAGGUAACUGUAAUCAUAUUCAUGCUGAUGGGCACAUCUAGAAUUAGUUCAUUUGUUGGUCAAUCUAAACGUUGUGUGUGCGUGGCGUAGACGUUGCAUUGACUUGACCUGCACAUAUGCAAUUCAGACACAGUGACGAUUCGGCUGUGCUGGGAAGUGUGAAUCCUGCUAUUUGGUGGACAAGGUUGUACUGUAAAUAAAUAUGUGGUUAUUUGUAAAUACAUUUGAUGAAACACUU
rnacentral:misc_RNA from 1 species